UGCUCUCCCUGGAGCUGUAUUAGGGUCCUUU
rnacentral:piRNA from 1 species